rnacentral:rRNA from 1 species
GUGAAGCCCCCCUCAAGAUGAGAUAUCCCAUCCGAAAGGAGUAAACCCCCUUGAAGACGACGAGGUUGAUAGGGCAGGGGUGGAAGUACGGUAACGUAUAGAGCUGACUGCUACUAAUAGGGUGAGGGCUUGACCAA